rnacentral:lncRNA from 1 species
GCUCUCCUCUUAACUUCCUUCGGUUUGAGCUCAAUUGGAAAUAUGAUUAGCAUAUAGAUUUUUCCUGCUUCUGGCAAGGAUUUUUACACUGGAAAAAAGAGGCUAUACGUUUUGUAGAAAACUCAAGGUCUGACCCACCAAACUCCACUAUUGCCUUCCUGGACCAAUAUCCUUCUUCAAUAGCCAUUUUAUACAACGUUUUCUUCUGGAUGCAGUAAAAUUGAACAAACACAGCUUAUCCUACAUUCUGAAGAUGGGGCACAUUUAUCAGGUAAGUCUGUCAGACAUUAUUACCACACUUUGAUAGAGGAAUUACCCCUGGUGCAAU